AAAGUUCAUUACAUAUACUCUAGCCUCACAUUUCAUGGCUAACUGAAAUAAUUAAUUGUGCGAAAUCAAGCUUGACCAACAAAGAGGCAGAAAAGUGC